UACGUAGGGGGCAAGCGUUGUCCGGAAUUAUUGGGCGUAAAGAGCUCGUAGGCGGCCUGUCACGUCGACUGUGAAAACCCGAGGCUCAACCUCGGGCCUGCAGUCGAUACGGGCAGGCUAGAGUUCGGUAGGGGAGACUGGAAUUCCUGGUGUAGCGGUGAAAUGCGCAGAUAUCAGGAGGAACACCGGUGGCGAAGGCGGGUCUCUGGGCCGAAACUGACGCUGAGGAGCGAAAGCGUGGGGAGCGAACAGG
rnacentral:rRNA from 1 species